CUCGGGGGCAGCAGUGGGGGAUAUUGCACAAUGGGGGGAACCCUGAUGCAGCGACGCCGCGUGGGUGAAGAAGCGUUUCGGCGCGUAAAGCCCUGUCAGCAGGGAAGAAGAUGACGGUACCUGACCAAGAAGCCCCGGCUAGCUACGUGCCAGCAGCCGCGGUAAUACGUAGGGGGCAAGCGUUAUCCGGAUUUACUGGGUGUAAAGGGGGCGCAGACGGCGAUGCAAGCCAGGAGUGAAAGCCCGGGGCCCAACCCCGGGACUGCUCUUGGACCUGCGUGGCUGGAGUGGAGGAGGGGCAGGCG
rnacentral:rRNA from 1 species